rnacentral:rRNA from 1 species
UACGAAGGGGGCUAGCGUUGUUCGGAUUUACUGGGCGUAAAGCGCACGUAGGCGGUUUGUUAAGUGAGAGGUGAAAUCCCAGAGCUCAACUCUGGAACUGCCUUUCAUACUGGCAAGCUAGAGUCCGGAAGAGGUAAGUGGAACUCCUAGUGUAGAGGUGGAAUUCGUAGAUAUUAGGAAGAACACCAGUGGCGAAGGCGGCUUACUGGUCCGGAACUGACGCUGAGGUGCGAAAGCGUGGGGAGCGAACAGG